AAAAGANGCGUGUGUGUGCNCUAGAGAAAGCUGCCCCCGCCCACAAAAGGGGGGGGGGCCGCCNCAAAAAUCGCCGCGCAGGGGGGCNACGGNCGCAGAAAAACAAGGNNGCUGCGGCGGGGGAGCUGNUUUCGUGGCGGGGGGGGCCCCCCCAGAAAACGGCCNGCGUGGNGGCCGCGNGUGAAAAAAAAAGGGNGGGGGGAAAGGGGAACCCGUUGUGCCCACCGGGGGUUUGGGGCGCCAAAAAACCCCCCGGGGNAAACGGGGAAAAAGGGGGCUUGUGGGGGGGGAAAACAUGGGAAAAGCCGCGGGUUCGCCAAAAGCGGUUUCCCAAAGUCGCCAAAGUUUGGGGGGGCCCCCGGCGUGGUACGCCGGGGGCCCCUUGGGGGCCUUUAACCCAACCACCGUUGCUUAACCAAAUGGGUCGGGUUAACAAGAGGUGUUUGGCCCAAGCGCGGNCGAGGUUGGAGUCGUAAUUCUCACGAGAAAUCGCGAUCGUAGUCCGGAUCGCAGUCUGCAACUCGACUGCGUGAAGUCGGAAUCGCUAGUAAUCGCGAAUCAGAAUGUCGCGGUGAAUACGUUCCCGGGCCUUGUACACACCGCCCGUCACACCAUGGGAGUGGGUUGCACCAGAAGUAGCUAGUCUAACCUUCGGGAGGACGGUUACCACGGUGUGAUUCAUGACUGGGGUGAAGUCGUAACAAUACGCCGUAGGGAACCUGCGGCUGGAUCACUUAAUCAUUGGAGCAUCGCGAUGCANGGUAAGUC
rnacentral:rRNA from 1 species